rnacentral:lncRNA from 1 species
AUGUGCCAAAGGAGUCACAGCCAUCACUCUGCAAUUUAUACAGCCUCGAUAAGAAACAUGAAGAGUAAAUUCACUGCAGAGGAAAUGGCUGCAAGUCUUCCACGAUUCCUUUGGAAGUUUUAUGCCAGGUAUGUAGCCGUGUGGAGAACACAUCCAUGCCCACACCACAGAGCAGAGGGAUUACACUUGCUCUGUGAGGCCAGAGCUCAAAAGACUCUCGCACAAAUUAACAGCAGAGUCCGAG